CGCUGACCUGGACGACGCGGUCCAGGCUGCUUCCGGCGGCCUCCAGCACCGCCGCCAGGUUGCGGAGCGCCUGUUCGGUCUGGGCCUCGAUGCC
rnacentral:tRNA from 1 species